UACGUAGGGUGCGAGCGUUAAUCGGAAUUACUGGGCGUAAAGCGUGCGCAGGCGGCUUUGUAAGUCAGAUGUGAAAUCCCCGGGCUUAACCUGGGAAUGGCAUUUGGGACUGCAAGGCUCGAGUGCGGCAGAGGAGACUGGAAUUCCUGGUGUAGCAGUGAAAUGCGUAGAUAUCAGGAGGAACACCGAUGGCGAAGGCAGGUCUCUGGGCUGACACUGACGCUCAUGCACGAAAGCGUGGGGAGCAAACAGG
rnacentral:rRNA from 1 species